rnacentral:rRNA from 1 species
AAGUCGAACGAAGUAGCAAUACUUAGUGGCAGACGGGUGAGUAACAUGUAGGUAUCUGCCCUUUGGCCUGGAAUAACACGAGGAAACUUGUGCUAAUACCGGAUAAGUCUUUACGGAGAAAGCUUUAUGCACCAUUGGAUGAGCCUGCACUUGAUUAGUUUGUUGGUGGGGUAAUGGCCUACCAAGACUGUGAUCAAUAGCUGAUUUGAGAGGAUGAUCAGCCACAUUGGGACUGAGACACGGCCCAAACUCCUACGGGAGGCAGCAGUGGGGAAUCUUGCACAAUGGAGGAAACUCUGAUGCAGCGAUGCCGCGUGAGUGAAGAAGGCCUUUGGGUUGUAAAGCUCUUUCGUCGGGGAAGAAAAUGACUGUACCCGAAUAAGAAGGUCCGGCUAACUUCGUGCCAGCAGCCGCGGUAAUACGAAGGGACCUAGCGUAGUUCGGAAUUACUGGGCUUAAAGAGUUCGUAGGUGGUUGAAAAAGUUGGUGGUGAAAUCCCAGAGCUUAACUCUGGAACUGCCAUCAAAACUUUUCAGCUAGAGUAUGAUAGAGGAAAGCAGAAUUUCUAGUGUAGAGGUGAAAUUCGUAGAUAUUAGAAAGAAUACCAAUUGCGAAGGCAGCUUUCUGGAUCAUUACUGACGCUGAGGAACGAAAGCAUGGGUAGCGAAGAGGAUUAGAUACCCUCGUAGUCCAUGCCGUAAACGAUGUGUGUUAGACGUUGGAAAUUUAUUUUCGGUGUCGCAGCGAAAGCGAUAAACACACCGCCUGGGGAGUACGACCGCAAGGUUAAAACUCAAAUGAAUUGACGGGGACCCGCACAAGUAGUGGAGCAUGUGGUUUAAUUCGAAGAUACGCGCAGAACCUUACCAACACUUGACAUGUUCGUCGCGACUCUAAGGAUUAGAGUUUUCGGUUCGGCCGGACGAAACACAGGUGCUGCAUGGCUGUCGUCAGCUCGUGUCGUGAGAUGUUGGGUUAAGUCCCGCAACGA